AUUGAACGCUGGCGGCAGGCCUAACACAUGCAAGUCGAACGGUAACAGGAAGAAGCUUGCUUCUUUGCUGACGAGUGGCGGACGGGUGAGUAAUGUCUGGGAAACUGCCUGAUGGAGGGGGAUAACUACUGGAAACGGUAACUAAUACAGCAUAAUGUCGCAAGACCAAAGAGGGGGACCUUUUGGCCUCUUGCCAUCGGGUGUGCCCAGAUGGGAUUAGCUAGUAGGUGGGGUAACGGCUCACCUAGGCGACGAUCCCUAGCUGGUCUGAGAGGAUGACCAGCCACACUGGAACUGAGACACGGUCCAGACUCCUACGGGAGGCAGCAGUGGGGAAUAUUGCACAAUGGGCGCAAGCCUGAUGCAGCUAUGCCGCGUGUAUGAAGAAGGCCUUCGGGUUGUAAAGUACUUUCAGCGGGGAGGAAGGGAGUAAAGUUAAUACCUUUGCUCAUUGACGUUACCCGCAGAAGAAGCACCGGCUAACUCCGUG
rnacentral:rRNA from 1 species